GGUUAGAAAAUGUUAAGAGAUAGAGGAAAUGUUUCUGAUCCAAGCUACCUGAUGAUGGCAGUAAUGCACUGUUAAGUGCGGUUGCCAGUAAAAGAAGGAAGAAGAAGGGGGGGAAACGC